GGAUUGUUUCACCAGAAUUGUGUCCAAAACUAGUCAAACAGCGGUUCCCUGUUUGAAUCUAUAAUUUAUCUAGGUUAUGAUUUAACUUAUGAAACCAGGUGAACAAUAGAUCUAGGAAAAUGUCAUUGAAAAUUCCGUAUUCGCAGACAGCCCGUAAAUUUAGGGGAACCUUCGGAGUGGGAAGUGGGCCCAGUGGACGAAUUAAGCGUUUGAGAAUGUGUGUCACAGGUCUUAUACGACACGAAAGAAUAGAAUCAACGUUUGCACGAUGUGAUGAAACACGUGGGUAUGCAGAGAGAUUAAGUAUUUCAGUGUUCCUUCACUCAGCUAGAUGCAGACACACAUAAGUUAAGGUUCAUCAUAACUAUUGACAAAUAAAUCAUAAUGAUUAUUUACAAACUGUGCAACUGAAAAAGGUGAAAGGCCUGGUAGCACCUACAAAAUUAUGAAUCUGUAGAUUAUCAUACUUCAAGACUGUAAUAGGGUUCUUCACAAUUAGUUCAGCCUAAUUGGAUAGGGG
rnacentral:lncRNA from 1 species